CAGACUGACAGGAGAGCUCCCGCUGGGUGCAAGCACCAGGAGCGGAAUCUUCACUUCGCACACUCCUAAUAUGGUAAGCCCUGCAGACUGUGGGCCUGUGAGCAGGAGGGGGACCAGGCGGAGCUCCACGCCUCCGUGAGGUUAACCCCUUGGCAGAAGGCAGAAUGGAAGAGAGACUGACCACUGGUGGCUGCAGAUGCUCUGGUUACUAACAGCCACAAGUCAAGUCGACGUGAUCUGGAAGCCAGGAUCAGGUUGUCCUUCCAAACAGCAGUGUCUGCCGACAGUAAACUUCGGAUCAAAGCAGCAGGGCAAAAUGAACUGCCUCAGCCCCAUGGGUCACCGAAAUGAAACAGGAAAAGACAAAUAAAGGAAAAAGAAACAGCCUUCUCAGGCGAGUGGCAAAGGCAGCAGGACAGUGGAGGGACUGUCACGUGCAUGCCACGCCCUCCCCACAGGCUGUGUGUCGGCUCCGUCACAGCAGCUGCUGCCAGGAGCAUAGAGGAAAAUAGUGUCCAUGCUGGCUUUUUAUAACAGACCUGAGUAGUGAAUAGAGACUGCAAAGAAUGGGGCCAGGGCCACCAAAUAUUCUUCCCGGCCUUGGAGACCCCACCAUGCCAGGGCCUGGGCCGUUCAGUGCUUCACUGUUUACCAAGAUCCAGAGGAUGUGGCCCCUGCAGGGACAAUGAGGAAGAGCCAGUGAUUAGGCAAGUAAUGCCCCUAAGAACUUGCUAAAGCAUUGGGGUGAAAUACUAAGAGCCUCCUCUUCUUUUUUUUUUUUUUGCUGAGAAGAUUAGCCCUGAGCUAGCAUCUGUGCCAGUCUUCCUGCAUUUUAUAUUACAAAAGAGGGAGUUGACUGGGAAGAGGCUGCAGCCAGGACACCCGGUCGGAUCAAGUCUUCACAGACCAGCUGCUACAAUAGAUUAAAUUAAAAGCUGGGAUUGAAUUACGUCACUUUAGCACUUUGAUCAGGGAGACCAUUUACCAAGUGUGACGUUGAUCAAUAUUUGGCUGUUACAACUGAAGGAAGAAAAGGAGAAUCGAUCACUGUCGAAGCCACUGUGGGUGCGCGUACAGACAGAGCAACUCAUGAGCAGAAAGAAAAGAACUCCAGAUGGAGAGCUUCACGUUGUCGGCAGAUUUAGAAAAAGCCCCUGGAAUCCGCACGGGUGGUACAGCCGGGUGCAGACUGACAAGCGAGGAAUCUUCCAUCUCAUCGCCUCAAUUUCAGGCUUCAGAGAUGCCCGGCUCUGCUGUUCAAAGAGUUUUAUUAAAAAUUUGUGAGGAGGGAAAAGAAGUCUGUGCAGGCCUGUCUGGUGCCAUUACGUCUGACACAGCACACGGAGCCGCGGACCGCCCGGGACAGCCACCGCAGGGGGGUGCACAGCAGAGGCCAUGGGAGCCCCCGGGGAAUGGUCCCAGAUGCUCUAGUCUGGUGGGGUCCCUCCAGAAUCGUGAGUCUCCAUAUGUGACCCAGUGUAUACUUCCAGUCCUUAGACCACCAGCAUUCCAGUCAGAAGACAAACACCCACGGAUCCCAACGUUGAACUUGUCCCCUCGGUAUAACUUCUGCUACUGCUCCUCUCAUGAGCAAAACUCCCUUCUCUGAUCAUUUUCUCUGUAAACCUAGAUCGAGCGACACACUGCCAGCAGCUCCUCUGCAGCUAUGAAGUGUGGCAUGAAUCCAGCCUUCCCUGAAGCGGGGCGCUGCCACGCGGAUUGCAAUCUAGACAACGUCUGGAUCCCCCACAUUCUGGGCACAGACCUCACAAGACCCUUAAAGGCAGGGAUUCGCCUGACGGGCAGCCUGGCUGGUGUGCUCCAUAAGAAGGAGGGCUGGGUCCCCGGAAGGGAGUCAGUGCAGCCAGACAAGCUGCCUUAUCCCAUGCAGAUUUUUCUGGUUGCCAGGAGAGGUCUCCAGCCUGGAGUGGCCCUGCUGAAAGACACCCAGUGGAGCUCCGUGAAGGUUUGGGAUGAAUGAGGACGUGGGAGGGAGCGUACCGCGUAGCAGCAGCACAGAAGGAGCGUAGGUAGGCUGUAAACAGCCCCAGAUGGGCAUCUGGGUUCGGGCUCGGCUCAGCCUUUCUCAACCCGAGAUAAAGCUUGGGAUCAACUGAGAGCCUUUAAAAAAUAUUGAUGCCUGGGUACAACGUCCAGAACAAUUAAAAUAGGAUCAAAUUAGGAUCUCUGCCAUCGCCUAAAAGUCCUAGGACAAUGUGUAAGGUUAGAAAAAGUUUGGGAACAACGUAAGUGUGGAAAAUGCGAGGCUAAUGUGGAGGAUGAGUUUCACUGGUCACCCUGGCCGCCCAAUCACUCUUGGAGAGGUGGGAUGGCCAAAGAGGAAGGUGGAGCUAAGGUGACACAGGAGACGGAGGGCCACCUCCACUGCUCAGGCCCAGUGCUCUGGCCACUGCUCAAGGGCAGACUGAGGCCUGAGUCCAGAGCUGCCCCGGGGUCUUGGGGUCUUUGGAAAUGCGGACCAGUAGCCGGGGUGGAGAAUCUGACUCACUUAUCUAACCCACGGCCCCAAGCAUCUACCUUUGAUCCUUCUUUUUUUUUGAGGAAGAUUAGCCCUGAGAUAACUACUGCCAGUCCUCCUCUUUUUGCUGAGGAAGACUGGCCCUGAGCUAACAUCCGUGCCCAUCUUCCUCUACUUUAUAUGUGGGAAGCCUGACACAGCAUGGCUUUUGCCAAGUGGUGCCAUGUCCGCACCCGGGAUCCGAACCGGCAAACCCCGGGCUGCCGAGAAGCAGAAUGUGCCCACUUAACUGCUGCGCCACCAGGCCAGCCCCUAACUUUGAUCCUUUGUUAGGAUCGCACCAAAAGACACCAAAGACAAAAAGAUUCCUCCUUCCCUCUGUCAGAGCCCUUCCACCUUAUCUGCCUUGUCCCUGCUCAGCCUACUUCCCCUGCUCAGAGGGGAAAGGAGGGCAGCCCUGUUGUCUGGUAUGCUAGGAGGCCGUGUUACACUUGGCAAUGGUCCUGAUUUUUACUUGCAGCAUCACUGCCCCAUCCAGUGGGGUGGGGCAGCACGCUCCCUGUACCGCUGUAGAUGGUGACCCUGAGAAGGCCAAGACCAGACAGGCGUGCCACUGACACAGCAGUGCAAAUGACUGAAUACACACACACACACGCACACGCACAUGCACAGGGCAGUAAGCCACCAGCAGACAAAGAAAGGAAAAUACCAGCGAUAACAAAGCAGGAGAGUGACCCACGUUAACCCAGACAGUGCUCAAACGGCUCCACUAAACUGUGAUUUUCGUUGCUGCUUCUUAGCCCCAGAAAUUAUGCUUUCCUUUGAAGAGCUGAUGUAGCACUCUAAAUGAUACAUUCAGUACGAGAAGUCCGUGUUCUGUUUCCCCGCAGGAUGUAAUCGAGACUGGAUACAUGGCCUGGUGUCUAAUUCUCCAGUUACAUAAUUAGUAACUGCACAUCAGGCAAAAAAAAAAAAAAAAAAAAACCCAGCCCUGAGAGAGCAUCUCAGAGGAGGC
rnacentral:lncRNA from 1 species